AUUGAACGCUGGCGGCAGGCCUAACACAUGCAAGUCGAGCGGAGCGGCGGACGGGUGAGUAAUACCUAGGAAUCUGCCUGGUCGUGGGGGAUAACGUCCGGAAACGGGAGCUCAUGCCGCAUACUCUCAGAUGAGCCUAGGUCGGAUUAGCUAGUUGGUGGGGUAAAGGCCUACCAAGGCGACGAUCCGUAACUGGUCUGAGAGGAUGAGCAUGCACACUGGAACUGAGACACGGUCCAGACUCCUACGUGAGGCAGCAGUGGGGAAUAUUGGACAAUGGGCGAAAGCCUGAUCCAGCCAUGCCGCGUGUGUGAAGAAGGUCUUCGGAUUGUAAAGCACUUUAAGUUGGGAGGCGUUACCAACAGAAUAAGCACCGGCUAACUACGUGCCAGCAGCCGCGGUAAUAC
rnacentral:rRNA from 1 species